AGCGCUGAUCGUGGGGUUAUAGAGAGGGCUGAAGCGAAGAUUGGGUGAUGGAUGAAGGUUAUGAUGAUUUGAGGUCGGAAGUUUAUGAGGGAAGGGAGAUGGAUCAAGUCUUGAAUUCAGGUGUAGGUGUUGUUUGUGUAUAUGAGCUGGAGUUAAGGACAAAAGGGGUCGGGGAAGCCAAAUUACAGGUCUGGUAGUUGUAGUAAAGGUGGGGGAUAGUCGUGUGAGGUUGCAAUAUCAACGAUAGAAGUCUCUCGAGACGCGUGCAUCAACGAUUGUCAGAAGCAAGCAAAUAGCGUGGCAAGGCAAGUCAGAAAUAUUUUGAUAAGGCGAUAUUGUGCCGUAAGAUAGUCCAAUAGAUUAUAGUCAUUUCAGAAUUAGCGAUUGAGGCCAAUCUAGGAAUCUCGAGUAGGUGACUGUGUGUCACCUGUUUCUGUCAAAGCUAGGGAUUGAGAUGUCACCUGUAUAAGCUGCGCGUAAGAUUGAUGCUAGACGAGAUUGCCAGGGAGAUGUUUACAAGAGUAGUUCUGGUUAGAAUUGAUUUAUUUCAGUCCAGUUGUAAAUAGAUUUAUUUAUUUGGUUAUCAGUUAUUCUUCUUAUCGAAGUUUAGAUGAUAAUGUAGUUUAAGUUUGUAAUAAGAUUUAGGAUUUUGGUUUCUAAUUUCAAUGCUGUAACCUAUUAGCGAUCCUGUUUUUAGGGGGUCAAAGUGAUUUGAUUUAAAUCUCUUUUAAAAUUUUCCAGAUUUUCAAAUAUCUGUUUUACCUUCUUCCGCAAAUACAGGUUUUCAAUUGUUUUUGUUUUAGUGGCACCAAAUCCAGACCCCCGGAUUUGAGGGCUGUCACAGUUGGUAUCAGAGCUAUAGGUUAUAAGUUAUUGAAAUCAGAAUGUAGAGUGUGAUAGGAUUUUGUUUAGUGGAACCUCAUAUAGAGGUAAGUCAAGACUAUUGGUUAUAGUCUUUGUUGAUGGAACUGAGACUGAGUUUGGAGUAAUGAUUCUGAGUAAUCAUUUUGGGUAUAUCCUAGUUUCCAUAUCUAGAGCUAGUGAGUUUGGAUCUCAAGAGAAACAUUAGUACACCUUUAGUUGCCAAUCUCUCAGAGCUUGAUGUUGACUUUCUGACUAACCAUUGCCAGCUAGACUUGUGGAGAAACCUAUCUAGUCUAGAAUGUUCCUUGUCAUCUCUACCACUUUUGAGUGUUUGUUCGAGGGUCAUCUAUUGUUUCUAUAGAGACAUAUAAAAUAAGUAUGAGAAUUGUUGGGUCAGAGUAAGAAAGGUAUAUAGUUCUCGGUUUGAGAGCUUAUAUAGAUUUCGUGUUAAAAUACUAGAUAUAGUGCUAUGAGUAGGCUAGAACGUCAACGCUCUACAAUGUUGAUUGUAUAAAGUUGAAGAUGGCUUCUUAUCGUGUCAAGCUGGAUAGGACUUUUUACUAAAGUAGAUAGCGGUGGUGGAAUCUUUGGAGUCGUGUACGAAUCGGCCAGAAUAUUAGAAC